rnacentral:rRNA from 1 species
UACAGAGGUCUCAAGCGUUGUUCGGAUUCAUUGGGCGUAAAGGGUGCGUAGGUGGCGCGGUAAAGUCGGGGUGUGAAAUUUCGGAGCUUAACUCCGAAACUGCAUUCGAUACUGCCGUGCUUGAGGACUGGAGAGGAGACUGGAAUUUACGGUGUAGCAGUGAAAUGCGUAGAGAUCGUAAGGAAGACCAGUGGACGAAGGCGGGUCUCUGGGGCCGAAUAUUGACGCUGAGGAGCGAAAGCGUGGGGAGCAAACGGG